GAGUUUGAUCCUGGCUCAGAACGAACGCUGGCGGCAGGCUUAACACAUGCAAGUCGAACGCCCCGCAAGGGGAGUGGCAGACGGGUGAGUAACGCGUGGGAACAUGCCUUUCGGUUCGGAAUAGUCCCGGGAAACUGGGGUUAAUACCGGAUGCGCCCUUCGGGGGAAAGAUUUAUCGCCGAAAGAUUGGCCCGCGUCUGAUUAGCUAGUUGGCGGUGUAAUGGACCACCAAGGCGACGAUCAGUAGCUGGUCUGAGAGGAUGAUCAGCCACACUGGGACUGAGACACGGCCCAGACUCCUACGGGAGGCAGCAGUGGGGAAUAUUGGACAAUGGGCGCAAGCCUGAUCCAGCCAUGCCGCGUGAGUGAUGAAGGCCUUAGGGUUGUAAAGCUCUUUCGGCGGGGACGAUAAUGACGGUACCCGCAGAAGAAGCCCCGGCUAACUUCGUGCCAGCCGCCGCAGU
rnacentral:rRNA from 1 species